rnacentral:rRNA from 1 species
UACGGGGGGGGCAAGCGUUGUUCGGAAUUACUGGGCGUAAAGGGCGCGUAGGCGGUCCUGAUCGUCGGAUGUGAAAGGCCUGGGCUCAACCUGGGAACUGCAUCCGAUACGGCGGGACUGGAGUGUGGGAGAGGUUGGUGGAAUUCCCAGUGUAGAGGUGAAAUUCGUAGAUAUUGGGAAGAACACCGGUGGCGAAGGCGGCCAACUGGACCACAACUGACGCUGAGGCGCGAAAGCGUGGGGAGCAAACAGG